CCCCUCUCCCCCGCUGGCUUCCCUGCGCCUCGCCGGGCGGUGGAAGGGGUGGGAUUUAUCCCCGGAAAACCUUGGCCUUGGGAGGUGCCUGUCCAAGGCCGGAACAGCGCCAGAGGACCUCAGCCUCACUCCGGUGCUGUGAGGUUUGCACGCGCAACCUCGCAGCCGGUUCGCUCCCCAGUUUUGAUCAAAGAAAUGACUUCGCCUCGCUUUGUCCCUGCAGUUUUCUUCAUGUUGCCCGGUGCACAAGUAGUGGUAGUGUGGACAGCAUCGUGAGGGCUGGGGUCCCUGAUCCGGGAUGCAGAUGGCUCUACCUUUUUUCUUCCCCCUGUGGUAACCUUGAGUCACUUCUCCGAGCCUCAAUGUCCUCAAAUAAGACAGAGGUUCGAUUUGGAAACCAAGUGUUUAGCCAUGCUAUUCUUGCUAUUGCCGUGCAGCGACUCGAGAGAAAAGAGGACUUUAACUUGUGGGGUGUGCCCCGGGCUUAUCUGUGCCAACUUACAGAGCCAGAGGCAGCCAGCGGUGUUUCCUCCUAACGAUUGGGUGAUUAUUCUUCUUUGCAGCAUUUCGGCAACUGCUCUCUGCAGAGGAAAAGGAUCCUUGCCGGUCUCCACUCCUGUGUCCCAGGCCAACAGCACUGCUGGCCCACUGCAGACCCUCAGUAAAGACAUCGUGAAUGAAUGAAGUGGCACAGAAGACGUGGGUUGCAGCUUUGGCCCUCACCCAAGGCAGGGGGAUUCACUCCAUCGCUCAGCUUCUGUGUCUUCUCCUUUGGUGGGGAAACCACGGGAGCCCUGCAUGAAAUGGAAGAAACAUCAGAUGCCUCUAUUAACGGUUCUGGAAAGUUAGAACUUAAAGCCUCCGUCUGCAGCGCCAGCAUCCCAUAUGAAUGCUGCUUCGUGUCCCGAUUGCUCCACUUCCAGUUCAACUCCCUGCUGAUGGCCUGGGAAAGCAGUGGAAGAUGGCCCAACUGCUUGGGCCCCUGUACCCAUGUGGGAGACCUGGAAGAAGGUCCUGGCUCCUGGCUUCGAACUGGCCCUGCUCCAGUCAUUGCUGCCAUUCGGGGAGUGAACCAGCGAAUGGAAGACCUCUCUCUUUGUCUCUCCAGCUCUCUGUCUGUAAUUCUACCCCUCAAAUAAAUAAAUAAAUCUUAAGGAAGAAGAAAAAAGAAAGAAAUGGUGCAGACACAGAAAGGAAUGAGCCUAAGAAGUUUUGCUUCAUUUUACAGUGAAGGAAACUGAGGCACAAGAGCAUUGAGCAAGUUGCCCAAGGCCAAAUAUUUAGUGAAUAGGGGAGCUUUGGAGUCAGGCUCUUCAAGGCUGUUACUACCUCUUCUGGAGGUUACAGCUAUUGGCACAGGGUGCAAUUGAAUUUGCCCACAGGGAAAGUGGACAGUGGGAAGAGAAGUAGAAGGAGAGCCAGGGGUUAAAGGAAGAAAUGGCUUCUAAUAAGAGGGCAUAGCCCACAUUCUCAAACGAUCCAGAAAAUUCCAUCCAGGAAGGAUGGGUAAGCAAGCAUGCACUCUAUUUUGCAAUCAGAAGGCUGGUAACUUUUCCCAGAGCUGUCCUGAUGGAGUUGGAGGGAAUGGAAGCCAGAUUGCAGUGGGCUGAGGAAUGAGUGGGAGACAGCAAGUGUAGACAACU